ACAACAAAGACAACGAGAGCUACACAAAGAGCAGCGACGAAAAUCGGUAAUCGGUAACCGGUAACUGCGGUCGGUGGAGCAGAUAAGACUUCCAGUGAUAAGGGCGCUACGGCUCGUAAAACACACAUCUGCCUUAGAAAUCCAAGCUCCAAACCACCCAAAAAUAUGAAAUGGAUAAAUUAAGUUUCGCCCAAGAACAGUCCCAAAGAUUCUCUUUAAAUCUCCAACUUUGACGAAAACUUUACUUUAUACAAGCAAACGAGCACUUACAUAUACAUAUGUAUGUAUAAUACAUACAGUUUAUCUAAACAAAAUGGUUCGAUACCAUCGAAACCAUCGAAAACUAACCGUUCUAAAACCACUCCGCUUGAAAGUCGAACCUGGUCUACGAAUCUGAGAAUGCAAGUGGUCCCUCGUCGGAGCUACUCGAGAUUCCAGACGUAGUCGGAAGCCAAAAGCAAACAAAUUAAGCAAACAAAUGGCAUAACCGGGUAAUUAAUUAAUGCAGCCAAGAAACCGAAAACGUAAUUAGAACACAGCGCGCCCACCAAUUGCUUAAACAAUCAAAGCGUAACGGUAACCAAAAAAUGUAGAUUGUUUAAAACCAGUUACCUAGCGAGCAAAAUAGCGCAACAUUAAAGAAAUGAAAACAAGUGCAAAACCGACGAAUCACCGGAUGGGAAAACGAUGAGGAGCGCGGCUCCAACUCGCUGACGUCUGUCUCUGGAUUUUCGCGGGCGGUAAGAAGAGCAGCGGAUGGGCGGGAGAAAAGGGAUAACAGAUAGUAAAUGUGGGAUCUACGCACAAAAAUAAACAGUGCACUGAGAGAAAAUUACACUACAUUCCGAUUUAUGUUUGUAAAUCUAAUUCUGCUCUUUAGGAUUUGAGCUCAAAGAAGCUGGCGUCGAAAAAAUCGAAUUUUUGAAACUUGAAAGCUGGAAUCGUUUGUCCAUGUUUGCCCAGUCCAGUUUUCGACAUCUGAAUUUGUAGUAAAAGUUCGACAAUUUUCGAAAAUCAAAAAGUUUACUUUUUUCAUAAUUUUUUUUAAUUGCAAUAACCCGUUUGCCCAUCCUUUAGAAUUUUGAAAAAUGUAUACGUUAGAAAAUAUAAGACAUUCAGGUUAAUCUCGGUCUACUCAGAAAAUAAAGCGUUUGCCCAUCUCUUAUAACUAAAUAUUAUAAAAAAAAAUGUUUACUUUUUUCAUCGUUGUGGUGGCUAUUCACAACGCCAACUAUCUAAUUGCGACUUAAAAAAAUUUUCAUUUUCAAUUUUCGAACUUUUUGAAAAUUCAGAUCUCGAAAACUGGACGUGGGCAAAAAAAACUUUAUCGGUGGGCAGACCAACUCUCCAGCUUUCAAAUUUCAAAAAUUCGAUUUUUAUUAUUAUUAUUCAUUAUUUUAUCAAAUUCAUAAUAUUCUAAGACAUUUGUUAUUUUAUUUCCCAGUUGCUUGUUUUUAAAUUUCCUCUCUCAAAGAUUUUGUAAUAUUCCUAGUUAUUUUUAAACAGUUUGGGGGCAGUUUUGUUUAUAUUAUUUUUUCGAGUGUAGACCGCAACGCACCGCCCACAUUUGGAGUGAAGCUUACGUGCGUCAGCCAGCGACGUCCGCCAAAACGCCACUCUCCCUGCCACGAAUUUAUCGAUGCUGUUGCUCAUUACUCUUUGGACUGUUGUUUGGUUAUCUCUUCGCUGGAAGGGUGCUCAAGGGAUGUAAAUUAUGUUUAUUCCAAAACCACACACACAAACACACAUUAGAAAACGAGUAAAAGAGCCGAGAGCAAAAGCUUUUGGCAUUGACAUUGAACAGUCAGCUGUUGGGAAGAAGCAAAGGAAUGAGAAGAAUUUAGUAGGAGGCGGAGGAAGAGAAAAAGCUCCACUGCAAAAAGCCGCAAAAAGUCAGGGUCAGCUCUCCGCAUGUAAAAAUCUACAGUCGAAGUCAGCUAGAUUAUAACACCAGGUUUAAAUACUUUUUCAAUGCUCAUAAUUUUAUAUUUCACAUUCUUAUAAAACACUAUUUAAAAUUAAAUAAAAAUCGAUUUGACUUGUUUUAAAAAUAAAUACGUGCAUGUAUAGCACAUAUAGUAUGCAAAU
ensembl:ncRNA lncRNA:CR43493 long non-coding RNA:CR43493